CCCCCAUCAGAAGGACAGGAGCACCGCGUCGCAGAGAGCCUCAGGAGUCAUCACAGGUAAGUUUUGUUGCAUUAUGGCAGUGGUCUGUUGCGGCCGCUGGAAGUGGGCCACUUGCAACAAUUUUGUCCGGCCGGCGAUUGCAGGUUAGUUGUUCUUGGUAUCGGCAUCCAUCGCUGCCGUCAUUUGGUGAGUAUCAGUUGUAUCGUCAGUGGCAGUUUUAUGCAAUUGUUUGAAUAUAUUGCAGAUGAAAUUGCCGUUCGUCAGGAAGAGGAGUUGCAAUGAGUUGCCCCACGCAGCUGUCAUUGCAUUUUUUGAGAGCUGCUGUCUAUAUGGUGGUGGAGUCGUCUCGUGGCGAAGAAGUCGUCAGAGAGGAUUGUGGCUCGGUCUGUCACCGAAGGAAGCCAGGUGCGCCGCGUCUUGUGGCCAUAGCGUCAGGAUUGGCAGCUUGGGGCCGCCGUUUUAAGAUUUGUAGCAGAGAGCCGCCGCAACGGAAUAGUCAUGGAAAUGGAUGCAAAAAUAGUAUUUGGUACAUUGAGUGGAAUUAAUUUAAGGUACUUAAAGAGGAAGCUAGUCUGGGGUACGUUUUGUAUGGGCUAAAUUGGAGGCCCUUGUCGUUGUGUUAUUGCAGCUAGAAUGCCACGAUUUUGGAGUCAUCAAGUUUGCAAUUAGAUAAGUAUUAUAUUAUUAAUAUAUAUUUCCCAGUAAUAGCUUGUGUUCCCUUGUUUCAAUAGUUGAAGUCUUGGAAGCUGGAGCUGCGUGCUUGACGU